rnacentral:rRNA from 1 species
GACGAACGCUGGCGGCGUGCUUAACACAUGCAAGUCGAGCGAGACCCCGCUUUCGGGUGGGUGUUCUAGCGGCGAACGGGUGAGUAACACGUGGGCAACCUGCCCUCAGCUCUGGGAUAACUCAAGAAAUUGGGGCUAAUACCGGAUAUGACCGCUGACCGCAUGGCCUGGUGGUGGAAAGAUUUAUCGGCUGGGGAUGGGCCCGCGGCCUAUCAGCUUGUUGGUGGGGUAGUGGCCUACCAAGGCGACGACGGGUAGCCGGCCUGAGAGGGUGACCGGCCACACUGGGACUGAGACACGGCCCAGACUCCUACGGGAGGCAGCAGUGGGGAAUAUGGCGCAGUGGGCGAAAGCCUGACGCAGCGACGCCGCGUGGGGGAUGACGGCCUUCGGGUUGUAAACCUCUUUCAGCAGGGACGAAGCGAAAGUGACGGUACCUGCAGAAGAAGCACCGGCCAACUACGUGCCAGCAGCCGCCGUAA